ensembl:lncRNA
AUCCCCACCUCUCCUCUUGGCAUUAAUAUAGCAACAACUGGAACUUGUCUGUAUAUUUUGUUCACAGGAAUUCAGUUACAAAUGCUGCAGCAAGAAAGUGGGGAACUGCGAAGUUCAAGCGCCUUAAUGAAAUUUCAGCUAAAGCAUUUCAGGCUCUGCUGAGACCCUGCAAAGCCAGAGGUUCUGCAAGCAAGCCUGUGGAGCCAGGCUCGUUCAGCCAUGGAUGCCUCCAGAAGCUGCUGCACUGACUGGCAGACAAGGCACAGUGACAAACAGCAGUGACGGCACAGCACAGGCACAGUGACAAACAGCAGUGAUGGCACAGCACAGGCACAGUGACAAACAGCAGUGAUGGCACAGCAAAGCACAGUGACAAACAGCAGUGAUGGCACAGCACAGGCACAGUGACAAACAGCAGUGAUGGCACAGCACAGGCACAGUGACAAACAGCAGUGACAGCACAGCAAAGCACAGUGACAAACAGCAGUGAUGGCACAAGUGGGUGACAUCACCCGAUUUUGACCUCCAGUCCUGUGAUUUGGUCACAGGUCAGGCUAUCCUUUUAUUGACCGUGCAAGCAUCUAUAGAGCUCCUCAGCAGUACAGACUAAUGGAAGUGGAUGUCUGUGCUUGCACUUGUGGCUACAGAGGUUGUUACUUUGUUCAUCAGAAGAGCCCUGUAAACACAGUCCUACAAGUCACUGAUGUGUUCUUCAUUUUAAGUAAGCUCACAGUAAUGCUACACGUGUGUGUGGCAAGAAUGAAGGAGCCUAGAAAUCAUGCAGCUGCCUAACACCUCUCCGGCCCUCUUGGAGGCAGACACACUCCUUCUGGAGCCAGCUACACAGAAGGUCUAAUCAAAUGGCUUAAUGGAUUCCCAUGGAGAGAAGGAAGUAGAUUACUGUAGACCACUGGACAGACAUGGCCUUACAGCACUUUCAGCAAUGUGGUGCACAAUAAUCAGAAAAGAACUGUGCUGCAGUUGUCCUGUUAUUUCAGAAACCUUUCUGAAUCCCUCUUUUGAUGACAGGCUAAUGAUAUGUGAACAGAGAGCUGAGAACAUCACGUGCUGCAGUAUACAGAAAGAUACUGCCCAACCCUCAAGCUUCGUUUUGUCCCUUUUCUCAAAAACAGACACAUGAUUCCCCUUUACCAUUUCUUUGUUUUCAAGCUACCAAAUUAACACAAAUUUAUUUUUAAGGCAAUUUUCCCUUCCAUUCAUAAUAACUCAGUGGGAACAUUAUCAACACCCAGUGCUUUAUUGUUCCUGGGUGUUCUGGUCAGCUCUUCGUUCUUCUAGAAAUGGCUCAGCUGUCUGGAAAAUGCUUUACUGGAUAAAAUACUCCCUCCAUCUUUCUGUAAUUACAUUAUUUUAACUAAGUCUUCCAUUUUUGUCCCUUAUCUGACCUAUGCACUGUUCUCGUCCUUGUCUUAAAUGCUGAUAUCCCAGGAAAAUGGUCUGAAGCUAUCUUAUAAUGCUGCCACUUCUACUGCACAGAGCCCUUUUUGUGCUGUACUAUCUUGCUGCUGAAUCCUUUGCAUUACCAAAGGACUUAGGGAAGUCACAAAAAUCAUCACCACACAUUGCUUUCUUACAGUCCCCAUCAAAAACUUUUUGUUUGUUUUCUUAGUUUUAUAUUUUUCUUCAUUUUAUUUUUAUUUUUUCUCCUACUCUUUUUUUGACCCCAAGUGUUUUCAAGCUGGUAUCAAAUUGUUCCACAAUGAUCAAGUGCGUUCCCAUCCGUACACUUGGUAUCCUCUGACAAGUUCACAUGGUAGGAGUUCUAAAUGCGGAUAUAAAAUAUCCACCUCUUUCAGUGCUGCUGCAUUUCUUCCCUUGCUAUUUUACAUAUUUUAACCCUGUCUGCACAACGAUGCCAAGAGUUUUUCACACAUUCCACCAGCUCUGCCAGCAUUUAUGGGCACUCAGAAACUAAGGAUAUGGCAUAAUUCCCACUCUGAAUCACAAAACACCAUGAGCUUCCUUACAGAAUUUUAUUAUAAAAUAUACAAAACAACGUGUUUCUUCAUACUUCUUGAAGAGUGAUGAAAGUAAUAACCACGAAGUACACAACUUUGAAAAUUUCAGCCCAAGUCAAACAAUUUUAGUAAAAAAAAUUCUCUAGAUUAUAAACUUUCUUA